rnacentral:rRNA from 1 species
AUUGAACGCUGGCGGCAGGCCUAACACAUGCAAGUCGAACGGUAACAGGAAGAAGCUUGCUUCUUUGCUUACGAGUGGCAGACGGGUGAGUAAUGUCUGGGUAACUGCCUGAUGGAGGGGGAUAACUACUGGAAACGGUAGCUAAUACCGCAUAACGUCUCAAGACCAAAGAGGGGGACCUUCCGGCCUCUUUGCAUCCGAUGGUCCCAGAUGGGAUUAGCUAGUAGGUGGGGUAACGGCUCACCGAGGCGACGAUCCCUAGCUGGUCUGAGAGGAUGACCAGCCACACUGGAACUGAGACACGGUCCAGACUCCUACGGGAGGCAGCAGUGGGGAAUAUUGCACAAUGGGCGAAAGCCUGAUGCAGCCAUGCCGCGUGUAUGAAGAAGGCCUUCGGGUUGUAAAGUACUUUCAGCGGGGAGGAAGGGAGUAAAGUUAAUCCCUUUGCUCAUUGACGUUACCCGCAGAAGAAGCACCGGCUAACUCCGUG